rnacentral:rRNA from 1 species
AUGUGUAAAAAUGUGAAAGAAGCAUCAAAGGGCAAAGUGACAGGACGGAAGGGCCAAGGACUUUCAAAGGCUGCUAGAGAGGUACUUGCCAAGUCUGGCCUUCAGUCUACCCCGACGUAUACCUUGAGUUGUUUUCAACUCCCAAAGAAAACAUGCCGGAACCUGACUUCGAUCUCUUCGAACUUUUGGUGGAGUGCAACAAAUGAUGACAGAAAGGUACACUGGAUUGCAUGGGAUAAGGUGUGCACCGCUAAGCGAGAAGGAGGAAUGGGGUUUCGUAACUUUGAAGUUUUUAAUCAAGCACUACUAGAUAAGCAAGCUUGGAGAAUUCUCCAAGUUCCAACGUCACUAUGUGCACGAGUCCUCAAGGCGAGAUAUUUCUCUGAAGGGUAUAUUAUGAGUGCAACGUGUCCUAGUGGUGCCUCAUUUACCUUUAGGAGGAUCAUCCAUGGAAGGGAUCUGUUAAGAGAAGGGAUAAUCUGGAGGAUUGGUGAUGGAAGCAAAUCAACAUCCACCAUGACAGUUGGAUUCCCAGAAGGGGCAGCCUCAAGCCACUAG